UACGGAGGGGCAAGCCGUUGUUCGGAAUACUGGGCGUAAAGGGCGCGCAGGCGGCUGCUCAAGUCAGGCGUGAAGGCCUGGCUCAACCCGGGAAUUGCGCUUGAGACUGGGCUGGUCUUGAGUGCGGGAGAGGAUGGUGGAAUUCCCGAGUGAGAGGUGAAAUUCGUUAGAUAUUGGGAAGAACACCGGUGGCGAAGGCGGCCAUCUGGACCGCAACUGACGCUGAGGCGCGAAAGCGUGGGGAGCAAACAGG
rnacentral:rRNA from 1 species